AGAAUUCUAACCUCCAGAUUCUAACUGAAGAAGUCCCAAAACCAGCCUGAGAGGUAUAUCAGGCCUCCUGCUACUGCUGCUCCUGGGAUCUGUACGCUUCCUUGUCAAUUCUGUGAUGCUUCAGGACCACGGCUCUUAGACUUCAAUCAAAUGGGCUAGCUCUCCAAAAAUCCAGAAUAAAUGACAGCGGUAAUGACAUGUGUGACUCAAAACGGAGCUCUAAGAUGGGAAACAGCAGCCCCAGAAUUUUGAAACAAAUCGGCAAAAUAAAUAUCUAUUUUCAGCUAAAGGGAAAAUAAACAGCAGCUUGGAACAUGGCAAGAAGCUCAUUCCCACCCCACAGAGGCGCAGAGGGGGAAGCCCGGGAGGCAAGGUCUCAACAGAAGACUUUUUAAAACCACCUGAUCCUCUUAUUUCGUACUAUAAAACAUAAUGGAGAUUUCAUCAAGUUGGCAGGAAAUCGUGAGCUAAUAAAAGAGCCUUGUUACAAAGAUAA